rnacentral:rRNA from 1 species
AUUGAACGCUGGCGGCAGGCCUAACACAUGCAAGUCGAGCGGAUGAAGGGAGCUUGCUCCUGGAUUCAGCGGCGGACGGGUGAGUAAUGCCUAGGAAUCUGCCUGGUAGUGGGGGAUAACGUCCGGAAACGGGCGCUAAUACCGCAUACGUCCUGAGGGAGAAAGUGGGGGAUCUUCGGACCUCACGCUAUCAGAUGAGCCUAGGUCGGAUUAGCUAGUUGGUGGGGUAAAGGCCUACCAAGGCGACGAUCCGUAACUGGUCGGAGAGGAUGAUGAGUCAAACGGGAACAUAAGCACGCUCCAGAACAGUGCGGUAAGAAGCCGUGCGGAGUAUUGGAGAAGGGGGUGAUGCGUGAUACAGACAUAUCGCGGGAAUGAAGAAGGUCUUCUGCUUGUUGUGCACUUUAGUUUGUAAGAAAAAACAAUAAGGUAAUACCUUGCGGUCAUGACGGUGCCCAAAGAAGAAGCACCGGCCAACUUCGUG